rnacentral:rRNA from 1 species
GUGGGGAAUUUUGGACAAUGGGCGCAAGCCUGAUCCAGCAAUGCCGCGUGCAGGAAGAAGGCCUUCGGGUUGUAAACUGCUUUUGUACGGAACGAAACGGUUCUCUCUAAUACAGGGGGCUAAUGACGGUACCGUAAGAAUAAGCACCGGCUAACUACGUGCCAGCAGCCGCGGUAAUACGUAGGGUGCAAGCGUUAAUCGGAAUUACUGGGCGUAAAGCGUGCGCAGGCGGUUUUGUAAGACAGAGGUGAAAUCCCCGGGCUCAACCUGGGAACUGCCUUUGUGACUGCAAGGCUGGAGUGCGGCAGAGGGGGAUGGAAUUCCGCGUGUAGCAGUGAAAUGCGUAGAUAUGCGGAGGAACACCGAUGGCGAAGGCAAUCCCCUGGGCCUGCACUGACGCUCAUGCACGAAAGCGUGGGGAGCAAACAGGAUUAGAUACCCCGGUAGUCC